UACAGGGGGUGCAAACGUUGCUCGGAAUCAUUGGGCGUAAAGCGCACGUAGGCGGUCUGUUAUGUCGGAUGUGAAAGCCCUUGGCUUAACUGAGGAAGUGCAUCCGAAACUGGCAGGCUAGAGUACUAAAGAGGGUCGCGGGAAUUCCCGGUGUAGAGGUGAAAUUCGUAGAUAUCGGGAGGAACACCGGUGGCGAAGGCGGCGACCUGGGUAGAUACUGACGCUGAGGUGCGAAAGCGUGGGGAGCAAACAGG
rnacentral:rRNA from 1 species